CCGGGAAACAAGUAGAAAGAGCAGGCGGCUGCUGGCGCUCUGGGUGCACGCCUGGGGCGCGUCCCUCCCUGUUGGUAUUUUGAACGCGGGGCCCGAAAGUCAGGCGCUGAGGGGCGUAACUCGAGGCCGUGAAAACUGCAGGCACAGAAACGCUUUGGGUAUGCUGAUGGUCAGCAGUGGCAGUGGCUAAUAACUCAACUCUUGUAGAGCACAAUGGCAAGCAACAGUUUUUACUUGUCAGGUCCUUGACAGGAAACCAGUACUUCUCCGGCAGCCACACAGCAUCCUCGGGAAUAUCCUCAAAUUUGAAAUAUCACCCCUCACUGGUUCCUGGGUUCUGCUUAGAACAAAAAUGUAAGUCAGUUCUCUUGCCUCUCUCACCUCUCCCACCAUCCAGCACUAAAAGAUUUCAGAAUUACAAAGCAAAAGGAGAUACCAAGAGACCCUAAAAAGCCAGUAAUCCUGAGACUGUGUAGCCAGCUUGACCACUUCAGUCAGAAUGGCAGUAGCAACUCCAGAGGACUCAGCUGGUCUCAGGUGAGAAUUUCCUUUAAAAUACUGACUGCAAACAUUUCAGACACAUUGAAUAUCUUCAUCUGUAUAUAUGCAUUCCUUUCAAACACUGUAAAUGGCCAAUUGGGAAAGCCAGGUAUAAUUUUAUGUUUCGGAGUAAAAAGCACAAAAGUUGGAAGUGCUAAAGUAUAAAUCCAUAAUCUUUUUAAAGCCCAUCUACAUUCAUAGGCUCACUAAAUUUUACAGAAGAGGUUUGGAAAGUGUAAGUUGACUAACUAGGCCACUUCAGUCUUGCAAUUACAUCUUUCCAGAGUUUCAGGAAUAUUUGUCCUCCAGUAUCUUUGGGUCGUCACUCAUCAGACAGUCCUUCAUCCAAAGUUUCAAUCCCCACAGGGUUCCACAAUUAUUAUUACUAUUUUGGUCAUUGCAAGCAGGGUUUAUUAAA